UACGUAGGGUGCAAGCGUUGUCCGGAAUUAUUGGGCGUAAAGAGCGUGUAGGCGGCUUGGUAAGUCUGCUGUGAAAGUCCAGGGCUCAACCCUGGAAUGCCGGUGGAUACUGUCAAGCUAGAGUCCGGAAGGGGCGAGUGGAAUUCCUGGUGUAGCGGUGAAAUGCGCAGAUAUCAGGAGGAACACCAAUGGCGAAGGCAGCUCGCUGGGACGUGACUGACGCUGAGACGCGAAAGCGUGGGGAGCAAACAGG
rnacentral:rRNA from 1 species